rnacentral:rRNA from 1 species
GUAGGGAAUAUUGCGCAAUGGACGAAAGUCUGACGCAGCGACGCCGCGUGAGUGAUGAAGGCCUUAGGGUCGUAAAGCUCUGUUGAAUGGGAAGAAAAAAAUGACGGUACCAUUCGAGGAAGGACCGGCUAACUUCGUGCCAGCAGCCGCGGUAAUACGAGGGGUCCUAGCGUUGUUCGGAAUCAUUGGGCGUAAAGGGUGUGUAGGUGGACAUGUAAGUCAGGUGUGAAAGCCCCGGGCUCAACCCGGGAAGUGCACUUGAUACUGCGUGGCUUGAGUACCGAAGAGGGUAGUGGAAUUCCAGGUGUAGUGGUGAAAUACGUAGAUAUCUGGAGGAACACCGGUGGCGAAGGCGGCUACCUGGUCGAGUACUGACACUGAGACACGAAAGCAUGGGGAUCAAACAGGAUUAGAAACCCGUGUAGUCC